UACGUAGGGUGCGAGCGUUGUCCGGAAUUAUUGGGCGUAAAGGGCUCGUAGGCGGUCUGUUGCGUCGGGAGUGAAAACUCAGGGCUUAACCCUGAGCCUGCUUCCGAUACGGGCAGACUAGAGGUAUGCAGGGGAGAACGGAAUUCCUGGUGUAGCGGUGAAAUGCGCAGAUAUCAGGAGGAACACCGGCGGCGAAGGCGACAUCCUGGACCGGUAUUGACGCUGAGGCGCGAAAGCCAGGGGAGCAAACGGG
rnacentral:rRNA from 1 species